CCUACGGGAGACAGCAGUGAGGAAUAUUGGUCAAUGGACGCAAGUCUGAACCAGCCAUGCCGCGUGCGGGAAGAAGGCUCUAUGAGUCGUAAACUGCUUUUGUACGAGGGUAAACGCAGAGACGCGUAUCGGUCUGAAAGUAUCGUACGAAUAAGGAUCGGCUAACUCCGUGCCAGCAGCCGCGGUAAUACGGAGGAUGCAAGCGUUAUCCGGAUUUAUUGGGUUUAAAGGGUGCGUAGGCGGCCUGUUAAGUCAGAGGUGAAAGCCCGGGGCUCAACCCAGGAAUGCCGUUGAAACUGGCGGGCUGGAGAUGGAUAGAGGUACGCGGAAUGUGCGGUGUAGCGGUGAAAUGCUUAGAUAUCGCGCAGAACCCCGAUUGCGAAGGCAGCGUACC
rnacentral:rRNA from 1 species